rnacentral:rRNA from 1 species
GCGAGUGAAGCGGGAAGAGCUCAAAUUUGAAAUCUGGUGGCCUCAGGUCAUCCGAGUUGUAAUCUAUAGAAGUGUUUUCCGUGCUGGCUCAUGUACAAGUCCCUUGGAACAGGGCGUCAUAGAGGGUGAGAAUCCCGUCCUUGACAUGAACUACCAGUGCUCUGUGAUACAUUUUCAACGAGUCGAGUUGUUUGGGAAUGCAGCUCAAAAUGGGUGGUAAAUUCCAUCUAAAGCUAAAUAUUGGCGAGAGACCGAUAGCGAACAAGUACCGUGAGGGAAAGAUGAAAAGCACUUUGGAAAGAGAGUUAAACAGUAUGUGAAAUUGUUGAAAGGGAAACGAUUGAAGUCAGUCGUGCUCUUUGGAUUCAGCCGGUUCUGCCGGUGUACUUCCUUUGAGUGGGGUCAACAUCAGUUUUGAUCGCUGGAUAAAGGCUGGAGGAACGUAGUACCCUCGGGUAAACUUAUAGCCUCCUGUCACAUACAGUGGUUGGGACUGAGGAACGCAGCACGCCUUUAUGGCCGGGAUUCGUCCACGUACGUGCUUAGGAUGUUGACAUAAUGGCUUUAAACGACCC